rnacentral:rRNA from 1 species
UACAUAGGGGGCUAGCGUUGUCCGGAUUUAUUGGGCGUAAAGAGCGUGUAGGCGGCCAGGUAGGUCUGCUGUGAAAACUCGAGGCUCAACCUCGAGACGUCGGCGGAAACCAUCUGGCUAGAGUCCGGAAGAGGAGAGUGGAAUUCCUGGUGUAGCGGUGAAAUGCGCAGAUAUCAGGAAGAACACCCGUGGCGAAGGCGGCUCUCUGGGACGGUACUGACGCUGAGACGCGAAAGCGUGGGGAGCGAACAGG